ACGGAAGGCAGCAGUGGGGAAUAUUGCACAAUGGGGGAAACCCUGAUGCAGCGACGCCGCGUGAGUGAAGAAGUAUUUCGGUAUGUAAAGCUCUAUCAGCAGGGAAGAUAAUGACGGUACCUGACUAAGAAGCACCGGCUAAAUACGUGCCAGCAGCCGCGGUAAUACGUAUGGUGCAAGCGUUAUCCGGAUUUACUGGGUGUAAAGGGAGCGUAGACGGCAAUGCAAGUCUGAUGUGAAAUCUCCGGGCUCAACCCGGAAACUGCAUUGGAAACUGUAUAGCUAGAGUGCAGGAGAGGUAAGCGGAAUUCCUAGUGUAGCGGUGAAAUGCGUAGAUAUUAGGAGGAACACCAGUGGCGAAGGCGGCUUACUGGACGAUAACUGACGUUGAGGCUCGAAAGCGUGGGGAGCAAACAGGAUUAGAUACCCUGGUA
rnacentral:rRNA from 1 species